rnacentral:snoRNA from 1 species
UACUCUGAUGAUGUUUAAAAUAAAAACUUUCGUUCUCCUGAGCUAGUAAAUGCUGAAAAAAUUAUGGAGACCUGAGCUGAAGAGUU